rnacentral:lncRNA from 1 species
GGUGUGUGUACCAUGGCUGUUCAACAGGAUUGAUUACAUUAAACCGUUCUCACAGAAAAAUGGGAAAACAUCAAUUUUCCAAAAUGACAUUCUUGAACGCCUUUUAGGAUCCAUCAAGAAAGCUACUAUGGAAUUUUGCCAAAUCUAAGUAUGAUUAUAUUUCAUGGGAUC